rnacentral:rRNA from 1 species
GCGGACGGGUGAGUAAUGUCUGGGAAACUGCCUGAUGGAGGGGGAUAACUACUGGAAACGGUAGCUAAUACCGCAUAACGUCGCAAGACCAAAGAGGGGGACCCUCGGGCCUCUUGCCAUCGGAUGUGCCCAGAUGGGAUUAGCUUGUUGGUGGGGUAACGGCUCACCAAGGCGACGAUCCCUAGCUGGUCUGAGAGGAUGACCAGCCACACUGGAACUGAGACACGGUCCAGACUCCUACGGGAGGCAGCAUG